CCAAUAGCGUAUAUUAAAGUUGUUGCAGUUAAAAAGCUCGUAGUUGAAUUUCGGGAUCAAUAUGCCGGUCAUGCCUUGGUAUGCACUGGUAUCUUUGAUUUCUCCCUUCUGACGAACUUUGAUGUCAUUAAUUUGGUGUCAUAGGGAAUCAGGACUGUUACUUUGAAAAAAUUAGAGUGUUUAAAGCAGGCUCACGCUUGAAUACAUUAGCAUGGAAUAAUGAAAUAGGACGUUUGAUUCUAUUUUGUUGGUUUCUAGGAUCGACGUAAUGAUUAAUAUGGAUAGUUGGGGGCAUUAGUAUUCAAUUGUCAGAGGUGAAAUUCUUGGAUUUAUUGAAGACUAACUACUGCGAAAGCAUUUGCCAAGGAUGUUUUCAUUAAUCAAGAACGAAAGUUAGGGGAUCGAAGACGAUCAGAUACCGUCGUAGUCUUAACCAUAAACUAUGCCGACUAGGGAUCGGAUGAUGUUAAUUUUUUAAUGACUCAUUCGGCGCCUUACG
rnacentral:rRNA from 1 species